CCACUCUCCAUUAUGUCAGUAUUCAGAGUGAACAAGAUUCACGCAUAAACAUAGGACAGCAAGAUUCAACGCCCAUAUAUACACGAACACGCGCGCCAGACCUCUGCGGUACAGACUAGUCAGUCAAUGGGUGACAUGGCGGUGGAUGAGCGCGGAAAUGAGUCGGAGGAGGAGACGUCCCCGAUCGAGGAGGUGCGGCUGACGGUUCCCCUUGGCGACGAUCCCACGCUGCCGGUGUGGACGUUCCGGAUGUGGAGCAUCGGGCUCUUGUCCUGCGCGCUCAUGAGCUUCCUCAACCAGUUCUUCUCCUACCGGACGGAGCCUCUCAUCAUCACCCAGAUCACGGUGCAGGUGGCGUCGCUGCCCUUGGGCCACUUCCUGGCCCGCGUGCUGCCGCGCCGGAAGUUCCGGGCGCCGGCGAUGCUCGGCGGCGGGGAGUGGAGCCUCAACCCGGGGCCCUUCAACAUGAAGGAGCACGUGCUCAUCUCCAUCUUCGCCAAUGCCGGCUACUCCUUCGGCGACGGCCAUGCCUACGCCGUUGGGAUCGUCAACAUCAUCCGCGCCUUCUACCGCCGCUCCAUCUCCUUCCUCGCCGCCUGGCUCCUCAUCACCACCACCCAGGUGCUUGGGUACGGGUGGGCCGGGUUGAUGCGCAAGUACGUGGUGGAGCCGGCGCACAUGUGGUGGCCGGGUACGCUCGUCCAGGUCUCGCUCUUCCGGGCACUGCACGAGAAGGAGGAAUCUCCCAAGGACUCAUGGCAGAUCUCCCGCUCCAAGUUCUUCCUGGUGGCGCUCAUCUGCAGCUUCGCGUGGUAUGUCGUCCCGGGCUACCUCUUCCCGACGCUGACCUCCAUCUCAUGGGUGUGCUGGGUCUUCUCAAAGUCUGUGACGGCGCAGCAGCUUGGAUCGGGGUUGAAGGGACUGGGCCUUGGAGCUUUCACACUUGACUGGUCGGCCGUCUCCUCCUUCCUCUUCAGCCCGCUCAUAUCGCCAUUCUUCGCCACUGCCAACAUCUUCGUCGGCUAUGUCUUCUUCCUUUAUGUGCUUGUGCCCAUGGCAUAUUGGGGAACGAACCUCUACAACGCCAAGACGUUCCCCAUAUUCUCCUCACACCUCUUCAUGUCUAAUGGAUCAGCCUAUCAAAUCACUGAUAUUGUGAACCAGAAGUUCCAGAUUGAUACGGAUGCGUACGCAAAGCUCGGAAGGAUAAACCUCAGCACCUUUUUUGCACUCGCUUAUGGGCUCAACUUUGCCACCAUCGCCUCAACCAUCACACACGUCGGAAUCUUCUACGGAAAAGAGAUCUACCACCGGUUUCGAGCUUCACAGCAGGAGGAGCCUGACAUCCACACAAAGCUGAUGAGGAAGUACGACGACAUACCAGCGUGGUGGUUCUAUUCGCUCAUGGUAUUGUCGAUGACAGUGUCCCUCAUCCUCUGCACCGCACUCAAGGACCAGGUUCAGCUCCCAUGGUGGGGCCUCCUGUUCGCCUGUGGCAUGGCCUUCGUCUUCACACUCCCCAUAAGCAUCAUAACUGCAACCACUAACCAGUCUCCUGGUCUGAAUGUCAUCACCGAAUAUGCCAUGGGGCUAAUAAUGCCUGGAUACCCCAUCGCCAAUGUCUGCUUCAAGGUGUACGGCUACAUGAGCAUGUUGCAGGCAGUUGCCUUCCUCUCAGAUUUCAAGCUCGGACACUACAUGAAGAUACCUCCUAGAUCAAUGUUCAUUGUUCAGUUUGCGGGUACACUGGUGGCCGGGACUGUCAACCUCAGUGUGGCAUGGUGGCUACUUGGCUCGGUCGAGAACAUCUGUCAGGACCAAUUGCUGUCACCAGACAGCCCAUGGACAUGCCCCGGCGACCGUGUCUUCUUCGAUGCAUCGGUUAUCUGGGGCCUUGUUGGCCCGAAGCGCAUUUUCGGGACACAUGGUAACUAUGAAGCUGUCAACUGGUUCUUCCUCAUAGGCGCAGCAGGCCCUGUCAUCGUGUACAUCUUCCACAGGAUAUUCCCCAGCCAGAAGUGGAUACUCAUGAUAAACCUGCCCGUGCUCAUGGGCGCAACAGCCCAGAUGCCAGCAGCGACCGCCGUGAACUACAACUCGUGGCUGCUCAUAGGCACUAUCUUCAACUUCUUUGUGUUCCGGUACCGGAAGACGUGGUGGCAGAGGUACAACUACAUCCUCUCUGGUGCACUCGACGCAGGUGUCGCGUUCAUGGCGGUGCUGCUGUACUUCACACUGACCAUGGAGAACCGGACUGUCGACUGGUGGGGCACAGGCGGUGAGCACUGCCCUCUGGCCUCAUGCCCCACUGCAAAAGGGGUAGACUUGGGCCCGGAUAGUGUGUGCCCUGUGUUCUAAGCUAAAUCUCGUUCAUCCUCAAGGUACAGGUACCACUACAAGAUUAGUCAUGAUCCAUUCCAGUUGUGUUACCGUCAUAUUAUGAUCAUAGAUUUCUAUUGUACUCUCCACCAAAAGAAAUAUCCAUAUGUGUAAACUGUAAAGGUUGUAGUCAGCCACACAAAUUAAAGAUAAAAGACAAAGACUAUCUCAGCAUGCAGCAAUGGUGCGAUAAUCAGUUAUUUAGGCAACACAAAAUGCGUGCUAGUUCUGGAAUCCUAUAAACUUUGACACUUGUUGCAAAAACACCUUGUAGAGCAGUAUUGUACAUCUCAAUUGAACUGGAGAGUAGUGACACAAAGAGCCUGUUCAUCAACAACAUUCAGUGAUGGCAAAGUCAAAAGGUACAAUUUGAAGUCAUGCGGAGAAUUUUUAUUAGUUAUGGUUCCGUAAUAUCUGUAUGGUUUUGAGCUACCCGCGAGGUUAGGACUUGGCUACGUACUUCCUCUCCAAGGUGUUAAACGCACAUAUAUGUCACGAUGAGACAUUCAGAGUUGGCGCACAGGAGGUACAAGAGAUAGACUAGGUUGUUAGGAAGAGUCCUUAUCUUGUAAACCUCUCUU
rnacentral:rRNA from 1 species